UGGAGCUGCAGAAAAGGGUCAGGGUUGGAUGCAAUUGAGACAGCUGACACAGAGACAGAAAACAGAGCCCCAUGCUCACCUAUUCACUCCCAAGACUGGCAGGAGACCUCAUGCCUGGACUGUGCAGGUGUGAAUAGCACCUGGAGAAACCAAGCUGUGAGGCAGUAAACAGUGACCUCUCCAGAACUGCUGAGUCCCCCAGGAGGAUGAGGAGAGACUCCAGAGCCAGGCAGACAGAGAAGUAGACAAAAGCUAGAGCCUAUGAGCUGGGCAGAAGCUGACCAAUAAGUGACUUGGCCAAUAAAUGAGCUGAAAAAAGAUCAUAAGAUGACUGGAAGACUGAAUGAUUACCCAACAGCACAAGGCAGUAAAUCUGCUUUGGCAAGUUAAGCACCUGUCACUCUCCGGAGCACUUGGGUUAGAGAGAGAAGUACUUCUUCAUCAGACAGAGUCUCCAUAAACUCAGACUCCAGGCCAGCAAUGAAGCCGCAGAGCACGUGCACAGACCUGCUGGAAAGAGACCAUAGAAGAGCCACAGCUAGCCCAGCUCUGCUGUCCCUCUGCAAGGACCCACACUCUGUGGGCCCCACCACACCCACACAGUGUCCCAGAGCUUUCCAGGACAGCGCUCUAAGGGUCCGAGCAACUGCAUAACACCAAGAUGAUGUUUGCUGCUCCAGCCAUCAUUUGCAAGAUGUGCACUGGCAGUGACGUGUCGCGAGGUGCGGGGCGCUGUGAGCAUGGCCAUACACAUGUGCAGUGAACAGUGCUGACUAUGCUGGCUUCACUCGGAGUCCUCACCAAGAGACUUUUCUGAGAUUGGUGGUGACAGGGUUUCACGGGUGCUAGGCAAGCCUUCUACCAUUGUGCCACAUGCCCAGCCCCAAACUUUUUCUUAUUAUAUAACAAAAUGUGUCAACAUUUGGAAGAUUGCAAGAACCAAUAUUUUCUGAAUGACCAAAAUCAGAGAUAGGUGAAGGAUCCAUUCAAAGUGCCAGACAGACGAAUGGACUUCAGUGGAACAAAGUGCAACGUCCCUGGAUAUGGCCUCAGACUCCACACCUGGCCCUCAAGAACCACCACAUGUUGAGCGGUACAGCUGUCUGAAAGCUGUGUCUCACUACUCCCUCCUUCCAGCUGCAAGUCUGUGUAGCUCGGCCCUCUUCCUGUCCACCAAAACAAAACACCGCUGCAGGGUAAACUCAGCAGCAGCUUUGAGAACCAGCAGCUCUGGAGCCAGACUCCAAGAGAUCUGCAGACAAGCAAACUCCACCACCCUUCUCAUCAAAUUUGUUUGAGAAAUAUAGUUAUUUUUAAUUGUGAAAUGCUACUAAUGCUAUGGAAUAGGUUUAUUACUGUCAUCUUAAAUAAGACUUAUCUUUAAA